UACAGAGGUCCCAGGCGUUGUUCGGAUUCACUGGGCGUAAAGGGUGCGUAGGUGGCAGGGUAAGUUUGAUGUGAAAUCUCCGAGCUCAACUCGGAAACUGCAUUGAAUACUAUCCUGCUUGAGGAUUGGAGGGGAGACUGGAAUUCUCGGUGUAGCAGUGAAAUGCGUAGAUAUCGAGAGGAGCACCAGUGGCGAAGGCAGCAAACUGGGCAUUAUCUGACGCUGAGGCGCGAAAGCGUGGGUAGCAAACAGG
rnacentral:rRNA from 1 species